GUUGAACGCUGGCGGCAGGCCUAACGCAUGCAAGUCGAACGGUAACAGGAAGAAGCUUGCUUCUUUGCUGACGAGUGGCGGACGGGUGAGUAAUGUCUGGGAAACUGCCUGAUGGAGGGGGAUAACUACUGGAAACGGUAGCUAAUACCGCAUAACGUCGCAAGACCAAAGAGGGGGACCUUCGGGCCUCCUGCCAUCGGAUGUGCCCAGACGGGAUUAGCUAGUAGGUGGGGUAACGGCUCACCUAGGCGACGAUCCCUAGCUGGUCUGAGAGGAUGACCAGCCACACUGGAACUGAGACACGGUCCAG
rnacentral:rRNA from 1 species